AGCUGAGCUAUCCCGACCAUUCCCGGCGUAGUAUCUCAUACUCAUAUUUUAUUUUUAUUCGAUGCCUGGGGUCUAUGUCAAUUAAAGGGACAAGGGGGGAUUACAAGGUUUUCUCCAAGUCUUGUAAGUUCUUUUGAUCUUCAAAAAAAAAAGACCACUUUAGAAGUUUCAGUAUAGUAGUGAUUGUGAAUCAGGGAUUCGUUGCUAAAUUAGGAUGUGUAGUCUAUUGGUAUAGGAGAAAAUCAUUUACGCCCAACGACGUUUGUGAAAGAAUCAGAAAGAUAAAGCAAUUUGUAACCGAAAGGGAGGGUUAGGAUAAAGAGUUUGGGAGUCCACUUUUUUGGGGAUAGAGGGACUUGAACCCUCACGAUUUUAAAAGUCAACGGAUUUUCCUCUUACUAUAAAUUCAUUGUUGCCGGUAUUGACAUGUAUAAGGGGACUCUAUCUUUAUUCUUGUUCGAUUGAUCAAUUCUUUAAAAGGUUUAUCGGACUAGGGAGUGAAUGGUUUGAUGAAUAAAAAUUCUAUUUUUUCUUCAAUGUCGAAUGAAUUCACACCAAUUCUUCUCUUUUUCAUAUAAAAUAGAUACAGCUGGAGAUUGGGACCAUUAUUAAUCAUGAUAUAUAUUCGAUAGAAUAGAUAGGUUUAUCCUUGACCUUUCUGACGAAAGAUUCUUCUACCAGUGCUCCCAUUUGUUAGAACAGCUUCCAUUGAGUCUCUGCACCUAUCCUUUUUUUUGUUUUCUGAACAUUUCUUUUGUUUUGAGAAAACAGGAUUUGGCUCAGGAUUGCCCAUUUUUACUAAUUCCGGGGUUUCUCUGAAUUUGAAAGUUAUCACCUAGUAGGUUUCCAUAC
rnacentral:misc_RNA from 1 species